rfam:Pneumocystis murina B123 supercont1.15, whole genome shotgun sequence.
GGCUUCAUGGUGUAGUGGUAGCACAUGGGAUUUUGAUACAAAAUAUUCCCACAACCCGAGUUCGAUCCUCGGUGAGGCCU